rnacentral:lncRNA from 1 species
GCGCGUGGACACAGCGCGCAGAGCGCGCGGUCUUUUGCGCGUUUGUGCGGGCCGCAGCCGCACGUUGGCACCGAUGGAACUGGGGUCAGUAGAGUGACAGCCACCAGUCCGCAUGAACUGGGUUAAAAUGAGCAACUUCUUUAACCAGAACUGACCUUGAAGACAAAUGGCUAAAAUAAAACAUUUGCUGAAUUCACUGGGCGCAUCUUACAAGUAAUUUUUGGAUUCUGCAUUGACUACCUACAAGUGCCUUCUGGGUGCAAGUCCACAGGCAAGAUUUGUUCUGCAAAUCUUCCAUGACCAAGGUCACCUCUUUGGAUUGGCAGACCCAGGGAGUCCAUAUUGGGAAGAUAAAUUCACACUUCACCCCUUGUUGAGAUCUCCAGCCUUGCUCCUCUGAUAACCAG